AAAGUCGUAACAAGGUUUCCGUAGGUGAACCUGCGGAAGGAUCAUUAUUGAGUACCUGGAAUGGCCCCUCGGGGCUGUUCUGCUCACUCUUCUCUUCUUUGUUAUUUUUUCAUAGUUGCUUUGGCAGUCAGUCAUGGCUGUCAAGGGACCUUUAACUACUUUAUGUUUGCUAAUAGUUGCGUUUGUCUUGUCUGAAUUAAAUACUUAAUUGUAACUAAAACUUUUAACAAUGGAUCUCUUGGUUCUG
rnacentral:misc_RNA from 1 species